AGCAGCCGCGGUAAUUCCAGCUUCAAUAGCGUAUAUUAAAGUUGUUGCAGUUAAAAAGCUCGUAGUUGAAUUUCGGGAUCGAUACGUCGGUCGUGCCUUCGGUACGCACUGGCGUUUAUCGAUUUCUCCCUUCUGACGAACCAUGAUGUCAUUAAUUUGGUGUUAUGGGGAAUCAGGACUGUUACUUUGAAAAAAUUAGAGUGUUUAAAGCAGGCAUUAGCUUGAAUACAUUAGCAUGGAAUAAUGAAAUAGGACGUUCGAACCUAUUUUGUUGGUUUCUAGGAUCAACGUAAUGAUUAAUAGGGAUAGUUGGGGGCAUUAGUAUUCAAUUGUCAGAGGUGAAAUUCUUGGAUUUAUUGAAGACUAACUACUGCGAAAGCAUUUGCCAAGGAUGUUUUCAUUAAUCAAGAACGAAAGUUAGGGGAUCGAAGACGAUCAGAUACCGUCGUAGUCUUAACCAUAAACUAUGCCGACUAGGGAUCGGAUGAUGUUAAUUUUUUAAUGACUCAUUCGGCGCCUU
rnacentral:rRNA from 1 species